AACGAACGCUUGCGGCGCGCCUAAUACAUGCAAGUCGAACGACGUAGCAAUACGGAGUGGCGCACGGGUGAGUAACGCGUGGAUAAUCUGCCUAUCAGUGUGGAAUAACUAUCCGAAAGGAUAGCUAAUACCGCAUGAGGCCACAGUUCCUAAGGGAACAGGGUUAAAGAUUAUCGCUGAUAGAUGAGUCUGCGUGGGAUUAGCUAGUUGGUGAGGAACGGCUCACCAAGGCGACGAUCUCUAACUGGUCUGAGAGGAUGAUCAGCCACAUUGGGACUGAGACACGGCCCAAACUCCUACGGGAGGCAGCAGUGGGGAAUAUUGGACAAUGGGCGCAAGCCUGAUCCAGCCAUGCCGCGUGAGUGAUGAAGGCCCUAGGGUUGUAAAGCUCUUUUGUGCGGGAAGAUAAUGACGGUACCG
rnacentral:rRNA from 1 species